rnacentral:rRNA from 1 species
GAUGAACGCUGGCGGCGUGCCUAAUACAUGCAAGUCGAGCGAACAGAUGAGGAGCUUGCUCCUCUGACGUUAGCGGCGGACGGGUGAGUAACACGUGGAUAACCUACCUAUAAGACUGGGAUAACUUCGGGAAACCGGAGCUAAUACCGGAUAAUAUAUUGAACCGCAUGGUUCAAUAGUGAAAGACGGUUUUGCUGUCACUUAUAGAUGGAUCCGCGCCGCAUUAGCUAGUUGGUAAGGUAACGGCUUACCAAGGCAACGAUGCGUAGCCGACCUGAGAGGGUGAUCGGCCACACUGGAGGUGAGACACGGUCCAGACUCCUACGGGAGGCAGCAGUAGGGAGUCUUCCGCAAUGGGCGAAAGCCUGACGGAGCAACGCCGCGUGAGUGAUGAAGGUCUUCGGAUCGUAAAACUCUGUUAUUAGGGAAGAACAAAUGUGUAAGUAACUAUGCACGUCUUGACGGUACCUAAUCAGAAAGCCACGGCUAACUACGUG